rnacentral:lncRNA from 1 species
UUUAUGCCUUUGAGGAACUUGAACACUACAAGGAAGACAGUCCUGUCUCCACCCAGCAGGCCCCACAGUGAGGUGGGAUUAUGUGGCAGGUAGGGUGAGCUCAGUGUCCAAAACCUGCUGUCACCAGCAGGGAGAACUUGGGUCAACUUCUCAGCCAUUCUAAACUCCAGUUACCCACUGAAAAACGGGAUAACAAUCCAACUAAAUUCAGUUUUAUGAUGAGAAUCAAGUAAGAUCAACUAUCUCAAGAGAUGGAGCUCACCAGGUGCCUCUACUAAUCCUUUCAGAACCUGAAGCGAGCAUAGGCUCUACAGAGUCUAGGAUUUUUUUACCUUAAAAAACAGAGAGACAAAGAUGUGCUUAAUAAUGUAGACCUAAAAAGUGUGACUGUACUGCUUUUUCAGGGGAAAAUGAUGUGAUUCUGUGCCUUAGGGUUAGUGAAUGCUGGUUGAAUACAGAGAAAUAACCUGAGAACAUUUCAGGAUCCCAGAUCUGAUCCACUAUUAAAGGGAAGGAGGGUUGGAAGCAUGCUGCCUUUGAGGUGUUCCCCUCCUCACCUUCUUGGGAAUCUCAGCCAUGUGCCUACGGUAAUGACAUCCUGGUUUCCUCCAGUCUUGUGGGAAGAGAUUGUAGAGAAUUUCCUGCUGAGGGAAAUGAAAAGCCUAUAGCAUUGAGAUUCUUUCUCAGAAAUCCAGAAAAGAAAAAAGAGAAACUCAUACAUGAUGGUGGACUUUGAGCCCAGAUGGCUUGGAUUUGAAUCCCAGCUUGGACACUUACUAGCUGUGCAAUGAAGAAGUGAAAACUCAUGGGCCUAACAUCUUCCUGUGUAAGGACUUUAUUUGGAGAAAAUGUGGCAGUGUGACCAGAAAAAAGACUCUUCAAGAUUCCUGCCAAGAAAUGAGGAUGACCUCAACUGAGAAUUAGUGAGAAGGGAAGUGGAUGGAUUUGAAAGACAUUUAGGAAGUAGAAUGCAUUGAAUUUGGAAAUAUAAGAAAGAAAAGAAAUGAUGAUGAUGUCAAAAUUUCUUGUUGAAAGUUUAUUCAGAACAAUAAUUUUUGAGAAUUUGUUCUAUUUCAGGCACAUAGUUAGAUGUAGGGGUGUAGUGAAGUUUCUAGUCCUGUGGCCAUGCAUGUAUAUUUACGUAUGCAGAAAAUGGUGACAGAGUAUGAUAUGUGCUACAUUAUGGAUUAAUUCAGAGAUUGAAGGACACUGUUCAGUUCUAGUGUUGCUUAACAAACCACCCCAAAUUCAGGGAUAUGAAACAAUGGUUUCACCAUGCUCGUGGAUUCUCUUGGUGAUGAAUUCAGAAAGGAACUUUUGUGGCUAGUUCUCUUCUUCUUGAUGUCUGAUGCCUCACCUGGGAAAAUGUGAAUGACCCAUUAGCUGUGGGCUAAAAUCAUACAAAGUCUUAUUCACCCACAUAUCUGGCUUCUAUAUUGGAAAGACUCAAAGGCUACACCUGGGUGUCUUGACCUGGCUUGCUCACAGCAGGGAAACUUUAGAGGAGUUGGGCCCCUUAUCUGGCAGCUCAAGGCUCUGAGCACAAGUCUUUCAAUGUCCAAGGUGGCAUCACCUUUUCUGAUCUGGCAUCAAAUGACUCUGCCACAUUUUAUUAGUUACAAAUGAGUCCCAAGUCCACCCAGAUUCUAGAGGAGGGGACACAGGCUCCAUCACUCAUUGGGAGCAUUGUCAAAAUUGCAUUGUCAAAUGCAUUUGACUUGGAAGUUAUUGUUGUGGCCAUCUUUGGAAAAUAAAACCUGCCAUAGAUGCCCAACCAAACCUCAGGAUAGGCUUUGAGGAGGAAGUAGUUUUAAAGUGUUCAGGUAGAGGAAACAGCAUAUAUAAAGACCUUCGGAAGGAAAGUAAACAUACUGCAUAGAUGGUAGAUUUGAACUACAGGGAUGGAGAGAACUCAGCUUAUUAAGUAAUUCAGAGCUUGAUCACAAAGGGCCUUUCAACUCUUGCAAAAUAACUUGAACCUUGUUCAGAUGGUGCAGGGAAUCCAUGUAGGGUUUUGAGUGGUAGUGAGGGGGCAUGUUUACAUUUAUGAUUUAGGUAGAUCAUUCUUUCUGUUGGGUCUUGAGUGGUGAACCAGAGUUUUCAAAAGAGAUUGGAUAACAGAAAGAACAGGACAGAUCAUCCUAAUACAGAGUGUCCUUUGAGCUGGACUGCAGAGUACAGAAUGGAUGGGGCCAUGGUAAGAUUAGAGGUAGGGUUGUCAGGGACAAGGUGAUUGUAGCAAUUUAGCUAAAACAGAAUAGUGGCCUACACCAGGAAAAUGGCAGUAGAGUUGGAAAUAAAUGAACAUAUUUGAGAAAUAGAGCAUGCAACAGACUGCACCUGAUGAUGCUUAUGUGUGUGGGAGAAAGAGAUGAAGAGGUAGGCAUUCAAUUACUUGAGGGAGAGAAUACAGGAGGUGGAAGAGGUUGUAGUGGAAAGAAAUGAUGAGAAAAAGUUAUGUAUUUUCAAUAAUUCAGCAUCUAAUUGUGUGUGGUUGACAUGUGAAUUUUAUUAUAAACACUGAAACAUGGUGGUAUUUCUUAGAAGUGCUGUUGAACAGGUGAGAAAAUUCUCUCUUGAAAUAAAAUACACAUUUUCACAUGAAAUUGGUAAAAUACAUUCCUACUCAUUUACUUUUGAUUUGUCAGUCUUUGGCCACAAAAGCAAUAAAUGACUACAGAAAUGACCCUAUAGAAUCUGAAAAAAAUAUUCCCUCCCACCGCAGGUAUUUAGAAUUUGGCCUGAGCUACGUGGGAAAAAUUUCACUGGAAAAUCUAUGGUGAAAGAGGGACAGCUGGAGGUCACAAUUGAAGCUUUGGCCUGUGGUUUUAAAAAUCAGAAAUUUCAUCUAACUCCUUGGAAGAUUCUGGAGACUUCAAAUUGUAAUUCCCACAAACUCAAAUGAACAACCUCAUUCAUUUGCACUUGCACUUCCAGAAGGAAAUACUAUUCUUGGUUAUGAAAAUACAAUUUCUCCCCUAAUGGACUGCCCUUUCUUUGUGAGCAUGCUUGCUUUUAUUAUUCUGAAAGGACAAAUGUAGUCAGGCUACAGAAUGAG